GGCUUUAUAGUCAACAAUGAUAUUAGACUGCAAUUCUAGAGGAGUAAUUAACAUUACUAAAGCUU
rnacentral:tRNA from 1 species